rnacentral:rRNA from 1 species
CGUAACAAGGUCUCCGUAGGUGAACCUGCGGAGGGAUUAUUACACAAAUAUGAAGGCGGGCUGGAACCUCUCGGGGUUACAGCCUUGCUGAAUUAUUCACCCUUGUCUUUUGCGUACUUCUUGUUUCCUUGGUGGGUUCGCCCACCACUAGGACAAACAUAAACCUUUUGUAAUUGCAAUCAGCGUCAGUAACAAAUUAAUAAUUACAACUUUCAACAACGGAUCUCUUGGUUCUGGCAUCGAUGAAGAACGCAGCGAAAUGCGAUAAGUAGUGUGAAUUGCAGAAUUCAGUGAAUCAUCGAAUCUUUGAACGCACAUUGCGCCCUUUGGUAUUCCAAAGGGCAUGCCUGUUCGAGCGUCAUUUGUACCCUCAAGCUUUGCUUGGUGUUGGGCGUCUUGUCUCUAGCUUUGCUGGAGACUCGCCUUAAAGUAAUUGGCAGCCGGCCUACUGGUUUCGGAGCGCAGCACAAGUCGCACUCUCUAACAGCAAAGGUCUAGCAUCCAUUAAGCCUUUUUUUCAACUUUUGACCUCGGAUCAGGUAGGGAUACCCGCUGAACUUAAGC